AUUGAACGCUAGCGGGAUGCCUUACACAUGCAAGUCGAACGGAGUGGCGAACGGGUGAGUAAUGAAUCGGAACGUGCCCAGUAGCGGGGGAUAACUACGCGAAAGCGUAGCUAAUACCGCAUAAUAUUGGCGCCGACGAUAUCGGAUUAGCUAGUUGGUGGGGUAACGGCUCACUAAGGCGACAAACCCUAGCUGGUUUGAGAGGACGACCAGCCACCCUUGGACUGAGACACGGCCCAGACGCCUACGGGAGGCAGCAGUGGUGAAUUUGGGACAAUGGGGGAAACCCGGAUCCAGCCAUCCCCCGUGUGCGAUGAAGGGCUUCGGGUUGUAAAGCACUUUUGGCAGGAGAGCGGGACCUGCAGAAUAAGCACCGACUAGCUACGUGCCAGCAUCCGCGGUAAUAC
rnacentral:rRNA from 1 species